rnacentral:rRNA from 1 species
UGCAGUCGAGCGACAGAUGAGGAGCUUGCUCCUCUGAUGUUAGCGGCGGACGGGUGAGUAACACGUGGGUAACCUACCUAUAAGACUGGAAUAACUCCGGGAAACCGGGGCUAAUGCCGGAUAAUAUGCAGAACCGCAUGGUUCUGCAAUGAAAGACGGUUUUGCUGUCACUUAUAGAUGGACCCGCGCCGUAUUAGCUAGUUGGUAAGGUAACGGCUUACCAAGGCAACGAUACGUAGCCGACCUGAGAGGGUGAUCGGCCACACUGGAACUGAGACACGGUCCAGACUCCUACGGGAGGCAGCAGUAGGGAAUCUUCCGCAAUGGGCGAAAGCCUGACGGAGCAACGCCGCGUGAGUGAUGAAGGUCUUCGGAUCGUAAAACUCUGUUAUUAGGGAAGAACAAGUGCGUAGGUAACUAUGCGCACCUUGACGGUACCUAAUCAGAAAGCCACGGCUAACUACGUGCCAGCAGCCGCGGUAAUACGUAGGUGGCAAGCGUUAUCCGGAAUUAUUGGGCGUAAAGCGCGCGUAGGCGGUUUUUUAAGUCUGAUGUGAAAGCCCACGGCUCAACCGUGGAGGGUCAUUGGAAACUGGAAAACUUGAGUGCAGAAGAGGAAAGUGGAAUUCCAUGUGUAGCGGUGAAAUGCGCAGAGAUAUGGAGGAACACCAGUGGCGAAGGCGACUUUCUGGUCUGCAACUGACGCUGAUGUGCGAAAGCGUGGGGAUCAAACAGGAUUAGAUACCCUGGUAGUCCACGCCGUAAACGAUGAGUGCUAAGUGUUAGGGGGUUUCCGCCCC